CCUACGGGGGGCAGCAGUGAGGAAUAUUGGUCAAUGGACGAGAGUCUGAACCAGCCAAGUAGCGUGAAGGAUGACUGCCCUAUGGGUUGUAAACUUCUUUUAUAUGGGAAUAAAAUGUUCCACGUGUGGGAUUUUGUAUGUACCAUAUGAAUAAGGAUCGGCUAACUCCGUGCCAGCAGCCGCGGUAAUACGGAGGAUCCGAGCGUUAUCCGGAUUUAUUGGGUUUAAAGGGAGCGUAGGUGGAUUGUUAAGUCAGUUGUGAAAGUUUGCGGCUUAACCGUAAAAUUGCAGUUGAAACUGGCAGUCUUGAGUACAGUAGAGGUGGGCGGAAUUCGGGGUGUAGCGGUGAAAUGCUUAGAUAUCACGAAGAACUCCGAUUGCGAAGGCAGCUUACUGGACUGCAACUGACACUGAGGCUCGAAAGUGUGGGUAUCAAACAGGAUUAGAUACCCGAGUAGUC
rnacentral:rRNA from 1 species